AUUCCAGGGCCUGCUAGAAGUGACGGAUGCUGUAAAUUGUUCUUGCCGGAUGGAAGUGGUGAGGGCUGUGAAGGUGUCCCAGGAAAUAACUCUAGCGUAUAGACCGUACCCCAAACCGACACAGGUGGACUGGUAGAGUAUACCAAGGCGCUUGAGAGAAUGAUGUUGAAGGAACUCGGCAAAUUGCCCUUGUAACUUCGGAAGAAGAGGGCCCUAUUUGUGGGCAACCAUGAAUAGGGGGCACAUAAUUGGGGGUAGCGACUGUUUAACAAAAACACAGGACUCUGCGAAGCCGGAAGGCGACGUAUAGGGUCUGACGCCUGCCCGGUGCCGGAAGGUUAAGAGGAGGAGUGCAAGCUCUGAAUUGAAGCCCCGGUAAACGGCGGCCGUAACAAUAACGGUCCUAAGGUAGCGAAAUUCCUUGUCGGGUAAGUUCCGACCUGCACGAAUGGCGUAACGACUUCCCCACUGUCUCCAACAUCAACUCAGCGAAACUGGAUUCUUCGUGAAGAUACGGAGUACCCGCGGCUAGACGGAAAGACCCCAUGCACCUUUACUAUAGCUUUGCAGUGGUAUUAGGGAAGAGAUGUGUAGGAUAGGCGGGAGCCGAUGAAGCGCUGGCGCUAGCUAGUGUGGAGGCGCCCUUGAAAUACCGCCCUUUUGUUCUCUGAUAUCUAACCGAGCCUCAAAAACGGGGGCCGGGACCCUGCAUGGUGGGUAGUUUGACUGGGGCGGUCGCCUCCCAAAAGGUAACGGAGGCGCGCGAUGGUGGGCUCAGGUUGGUCGGAAAUCAACCGCUGAGUGUAAUGGCACAAGCCCGCCUGACUGCGAGACUGACAAGUCGAGCAGAGACGAAAGUCGGCCAUAGUGGUCCGGUGGUUCUGAGUGGAAGGGCCAUCGCUCAACGAAUAAAAGGUACGCUGGGGAUAACAGGCUGAUCUCCCCCAAGAGUCCAUAUCGACGGGGAGGUUUGGCACCUCGAUGUCGGCUCAUCACAUCCUGGGGCUGGAGCAGGUCCCAAGGGUAUGGCUGUUCGCCAUUUAAAGUGGUACGUGAGCUGGGUUCAGAACGUCGUGAGACAGUUCGGUCCCUAUCUACCGUGGGUGUUUGGAGAAUUGAGAGGAUCUGUCCCUAGUACGAGAGGACCGGGAUGGACGUACCUCUGUUGUAUCGGUUGUCGCGCCAGCGGCAUCGCCGAGUAGCUAAGUACGGACGGGAUAACUGCUGAACGCAUCUAAGCGGGAAACCCACCUCGAAAUAAGUUCUCCCUAUGAAGGCCGUGGUAGACCACCACGUUAAUAGGCCGGAAGUGGAAGUGCCGUAAGGCAUGUAGCUAACCGGUACUAAUCGCCUCAUUGG
rnacentral:rRNA from 1 species